GACGAACGCUGGCGGCGUGCUUAACACAUGCAAGUCGAACGGAAAGGCCCUGCUUUUGUGGGGUGCUCGAGUGGCGAACGGGUGAGUAACACGUGAGUAACCUGCCCUUGACUUUGGGAUAACUUCAGGAAACUGGGGCUAAUACCGGAUAGGAGCUCCUGCUGCAUGGUGGGGGUUGGAAAGUUUCGGCGGUUGGGGAUGGACUCGCGGCUUAUCAGCUUGUUGGUGGGGUAGUGUCUUACCAAGGCUUUGACGGGUAGCCGGCCUGAGAGGGUGACCGGCCACAUUGGGACUGAGAUACGGCCCAGACUCCUACGGGAGGCAGCAGUGGGGAAUAGUGCACAAUGGGCGGAAGCCUGAUGCAGCAACGCCGCGUGCGGGAUGACGGCCUUCGGGUUGUAAACCGCUUUCGCCUGUGACGAAGCGUGAGUGACGGUAAUGGGUAAAGAAGCACCGGCUAACUACGUG
rnacentral:rRNA from 1 species